AGGUUUAACAGAGCAAAGAGGUGAAUAUCUACAGGAGAUAAAAAACAGAAAGAGAAUUAAUAAAUUUUCAUCUGAUCUCAGUUUUGAUUUAACUUAUUAAACAAUGGCUGUUGGACUGAUGAUAUCAAUUUUGUUGCUUCUUAUAGGUAAGUUAAGUGAUGCUAAACUUACUGUUGAUACA